CGGGUUACGAUUCGCCCUUAGAGUUUGAUCAUGGCUCAGAUUGAACGCUGGCGGCAGGCUUAACACAUGCAAGUCGAGCGGGGAAAGGUAGCUUGCUACUGGACCUAGCGGCGGACGGGUGAGUAAUACUUAGGAAUCUACCUAUUAGUGGGGGACAACGUUCCGAAAGGAGCGCUAAUACCGCAUACGCCCUACGGGGGAAAGCAGGGGAUCACUUUUGACCUUGCGCUAAUAGAUGAGCCUAAGUCGGAUUAGCUAGUUGGUAGGGUAAAGGCCUACCAAGGCGACGAUCUGUAGCGGGUCUGAGAGGAUGAUCCGCCACACUGGGACUGAGACACGGCCCAGACUCCUACGGGAGGCAGCAGUGGGGAAUAUUGGACAAUGGGGGGAACCCUGAUCCAGCCAUGCCGCGUGUGUGAAGAAGGCCUUUUGGUUGUAAAGCACUUUAAGCGAGGAGGAGAGGCCCUAGGUUAAUACCCUAGGUGCUUGGACGUUACUCGCAGAAUAAGCACCGGCUAACUCUGUGCCAGCAGCCGCGGUAAUACAGAGGGUGCGAGCGUUAAUCGGAUUUACUGGGCGUAAAGUGUGCGUAGGCGGCCACUUAAGUCGGAUGUGAAAUCCCCGAGCUCAACUUGGGAAUUGCAUUCGAUACUGGGUGGCUAGAGUAUAGGAGAGGAAGGUAGAAUUCCAGGUGUAGCGGUGAAAUGCGUAGGGAUCUGGAGGAAUACCGAUGGCGAAGGCAGCCUCCUGGCAUCAUACUGACACUGAGGUUCGAAAGCGUGGGUAGCAAACANGAUUAGAUACCCCUGGUAGUCCACGCCGUAAACGAUNUCUACUAGUUCNUUGGGGG
rnacentral:rRNA from 1 species